AGCAGCCGCGGUAAUUCCAGCUCCAAUAGCGUAUAUUAAAGUUGUUGCAGUUAAAAAGCUCGUAGUUGAACUUCAGACCUGGCCGGGCGGUCUGCCUAACGGUAUGUACUGUCUGGCUGGGUCUUACCUCUUGGUGAGCCGGCAUGCCCUUUACUGGGUGUGUCGGGGAACCAGGACUUUUACCUUGAGAAAAUUAGAGUGUUCAAAGCAGGCCUAUGCCUGAAUACAUUAGCAUGGAAUAAUAAAAUAGGACGUGCGGUUCUAUUUUGUUGGUUUCUAGAGUCGCCGUAAUGAUUAAUAGGGAUAGUUGGGGGCAUUAGUAUUCAGUUGCUAGAGGUGAAAUUCUUGGAUUUACUGAAGACUAACUACUGCGAAAGCAUUUGCCAAGGAUGUUUUCAUUAAUCAAGAACGAAGGUUAGGGGAUCGAAAACGAUCAGAUACCGUUGUAGUCUUAACCAUAAACUAUGCCGACUAGGGAUCGGAUGAUGUUAAUUUUUUAAUGACUCA
rnacentral:rRNA from 1 species